GACGAACGCUGGCGGCGUGCCUAAUACAUGCAAGUCGAACGCUGAGGGCGGAGCUUGCUCUUCUGGAUGAGUUGCGAACGGGUGAGUAACGCGUAGGUAACCUGCCUGGUAGCGGGGGAUAACUAUUGGAAACGAUAGCUAAUACCGCAUAAAAUUGCUUAUUGCAUGAUAGUCAAUUGAAAGGUGCAAUUGCAUCACUACCAGAUGGAGCUGCGGUGUAUUAGCUAGUUGGAGAGGUAACGGCUCACCAAGGCAACGAUCCAUUCCCGACCGGAGAGGGGGGGCGGCCACCCUGGGACGGAGACCCGCCACAGAGUCCUUGGGGAACCAGCCGUAGUGCAUCUGCGGCAAGGGGCGGAAGUCUGACCGAGCAACGCCGCGGGAGUGUAGAGGGUUUUCGGGUCGUAAAGCUCGGUUGUAGGGUAAUAACCAGUGUGAGCGUGUAAAGUUCACACUGUGACGGUAACUGGCCAGAAAGGGACGGCUAACUACGUG
rnacentral:rRNA from 1 species